GAAGUUGUUAGAGUUGAGUAACUAAGCAUGCAUUUAACCAUAUCCAAUAAAGUUCUGUUCCGGCAUUUUGCUACACCAUUUUGUUCCAGAGUACCCGGGGCAGUAAGUUGUGAUAAAAUCCUAAGUCCAGUUAAAUGAUCUUGGAAUUGCAUAUCAAAAUAUUCUCCACCCCUAUCAGAUCGCAAGAUCUUUAACGUUUUACCUAAUUGGUUCUGAGCCAUAGCUAGGAAUUCCUGAAACAUUGAAGAUGUUUAUGAUUUCCUAUGCAUCAGGUAAAGACAUGAGUAUCUAGAGUAAUCAUCAAUGAAAGUGACGAAAUACUCAAAACCACCCUGGCUUCUACAUUCAAAGAUCAACAAAUAUCUAAAUGAAAAAGUCCAAGUGGUUCUUUGGCCCUAUCACCCUUUGCAGAGAAUAGACGCUUGGUCAGUUUUACUUCUAGACAAGAUUCACAGACAUGUAAUUUACCUAAGGUGAGUUCCCUCAAAGGCCCAUCCUUUGUAGGUCUUUGAAUUCUAUCAUAGCCAAUGUUACCCAAUCUCAAGUAACAUAAAUACGUCAUGUUAUCGUUAUCGGUCUUUUGACAUUUAUUGGUCCUAGGUUUAGCUACUUUGAAUAAAUUAUUAUAAAGCGCGAUGGGUUCGUUAGGUCGCAUAAUAUAAAGCCCUUUUUCCAAGCAUGAAAUAUAGACUUAUGAUCCAUUUAAAGAAAUAGAUAUAUUAGAACUUGUAAUAGUCAUAACAAAUCGUUCUACUUGCAACAUGGAAACUAUAGCAUCCAAAAUUUGCUAAUAAGGCUUAGGGCCUUGACUAGCAUGCCGAGAGGAAAAUAGUUGAUUUAAUUAUGUUAAUACAUGAAUUUGAUGAUUAUGUGAUUAGAAAUGCAUGUUUAGGUGAAUUAAAUAUGCAUGUGGGCUCCAUUUGACUAUUAGAGGCAUAUUUGUAAUUUUAGCCCAUUAAGGGCAUACAUGUAAUAUUUGUGUAUAUUGUGAUUGAUACCACGAGUGAGUGGUGAUAUAUUUGCGAUGCACGAACUGAGAUGAUCCUAGGGAGCAGUUUAGCUAGAAAGUCACAACAGGGUCGAAUACCCGGCUCUGGAGGAGCCUAGGGGUAUUUUGGGAACGUAAUGUGUGUUCAGGAUUUAUCGAGUAAUGGGUCAUAAUUUAUUAAUUAUUUGGACAUGUCUGGAUUAAACGAGGAUUUAUAGGAACACUUGAGGAAUUAGCGGGACGUGGAAAAUGACGAAAUUUCCCUUGGUGGCACUUGAGGGUUAAGAUUAGCUUAAGGGCAUCUUAUAAUUUUGGUAAAUGGACAUAUAUGGUUUAGGAAGCUGAGACUUUAGAAGGAUUUGGGAAAAACAUAAGUCUCUCUCUGCUUCUCUCUCUAUUUUUCACUGUUCUUUCUCUCCCCCUCACUAUGCUUGGUGGCUGAUGAAUUUUGGGGACUUUAAACUAAGGAAAGUUGAAGAAAUGGACUUGUAGUGCUUGGGGAGUAGCUCAAGGAUUGAACUCAUUCCAGAGGUGUUCAACAAGGCUCAAAUUAGAAGACUGUGCUCGGGAUUGCGGUGCUCAGAUAACACGAGACACAGGCCGGAAAUAGCAAAGGCCAGGAAGGGCGAAGACCGAGAACGGUAGGAAGCCGAGUAUGGCAAGGGGCUGGGAUCGACAUUGAGCAUGCGAAGUGCAGGUCAUUAGGGAGAGACCCUCCUAGGAUGCUUGAGUCAUCCUCUCGACGAAGACUGCGAACCCAGGGCCCGGUAAGGGCAAAGGAAAGGUCAAACAACCAUGAGUACGGAGAGCGUGGAGUGACGGGUAUAAGUUCGGCCUACCUGGCUGCCACGACCAGGGUUAUUUUGGGAAGAUGUAAUGUAUUGGUAGAUUUGUCGCCUAAGUCGACCUUAAAUGUGUUUUGAGAUGUAAAGUAUUUUCUAACAACAUUUUGGGAUCCCAUUGUAUAACUCUUUACGUUUUCAAUGAA